rnacentral:rRNA from 1 species
GUCUACGGCCAUACCACCCUGAACGCGCCCGAUCUCGUCUGAUCUCGGAAGCUAAGCGGGGUCGGGCCCGGUUAGUACUUGGAUGGGAUUCCGCCUGGGAAUACCGGGUGCUGUAGGCU